GGAGGGGUGUCGUAACGGUAGCGAAGCGGUCUUGAAAACCGCCGCCCUUCACGGGCUUGCGGGUUCGAAUCCCGCCCCCUCCGCCA
rnacentral:tRNA from 1 species